rnacentral:rRNA from 1 species
CCUAGCCUGAGAGCGCGGAAUAACCCUGCGAAAGCAGAGCUAAUACCGCAUGUGAUUGUUGGAUGGCAUCUUUUAACAACUAAAGUCGCAAGACGCUCUCAGAUGGGCCCGCGGCCUAUUAGCUAGUUGGUGAGGUAACGGCCCACCAAGGCAUUGAUGGGUAGCUGGUCUGAGAGGACGGACAGCCACACUGGGACUGAGACACGGCCCAG